ensembl:lncRNA
CAGCCCUCAUCACUCCGCACUCUUCCCCCCAGCCCACUGAUAGCAACCAUCAUAAUGCCCCACCCAGCUUCCGGCACCUUUCGCCACUCCGGCACAAACCGACACAGCUUUGCGAUCUCGCCAGCAUGCAGAGUCUGAUGUCUUCCCUAUAGAUGAUUCCAGACUCUGUGAGGCCACUAUUACAAGGUGAGACGCUUUGCGUUGAUUGGUGCUGCUGGACCACACUGGAGGUGCGAGUCCGCCGUGUAAUGGUUUAUGCCAUUACAAAGGAGCUGGCCUCUGUACUCAACUGGGCAGGGGAAAAAAACCAAGGACCAGACAAAGCAAAAAGGGCAUUUAAAGAGACAGCGCUGUGCAGAUGCAUAUUUG